AGCCCCCCGGGGACCGCCCGCUCACACGUGUCCCCGGGAGUACCCCCCCUGGCACGCUGACCGGAUUUUUGUGGCGUUUUCCCUGAAAUGGCCUCGGAAGAUCUGGCAUCAUCAUGUUACCCAAUUUCCUGUUUCGUCAUGCAAAAUGUAUAUGCUGAAAAUGCUACCAUUCUGUGAGAGAUGGAAGAGCCUUUCGUCCCAAUCCUGAUGCUGUAGAGUUUGGGUAAAAUAUGAAACAGUCACAGCCUCCUGCUGGAUGUAAUACCUCCAAGUUUUCUUUCCUGGAGCAGCUCUCUUUGUAGAGUAACCAGGAAGUUCUGUGUGGUCAUGUUAAUGAAAGGAGCACAGUACUACAAGAGAAAAGACAUCUUAAAAGACUUCAUGUGCCUGCCUUAAUUUUAUCAAAAUAGGCCUCUACAGAGAGCAGGUCCCUUUCUGGGACCCAGGCAGCCCCAGUGGGGACACACCAACGCUGGAGGUGGCAGCGGCAGGACCAGGGUGAUGGGGACAAAAGCAGAGUCACAGUGUUGCCACACUUGGGGAGAGCUGUCUGCAAAUACAAGGGAAGGAGCAAGUGAUGCAAAGCUUCUGAAAUACUGGCAAAAUAUGACACUUCAUAUGACAGCCUGGAAGGAGGACCGGGACUUGCCCUGUGACAGGAAGCACAGCCCUGCAAGAGUUACAGGGCUCUCUGGAUUAUAAAAACACAUUUAUUCCCGCAUCCCAGGUAAUCAAUUGCCUGAAAAUGCUGUGACAACAGAGUUGAUGAGCUGUGUAAUACGGGAAGGAUAAUAACCCAACCAAAGGCUGCCUUCUUCAGGCCUUGUGCACAAAGCAACGAUGCACUGAGACUUCUAAAA